rnacentral:rRNA from 1 species
CAGCUUAAAGUGGGUGGUAAAUUCCAUCUAAAGCUAAAUUCCCGGCGAGAGAGCCGAUUGCGAACAAGUACAGUGAUGGAAAGAGUGAAAAGCACUUUGAAAAGAGAGUGAAACAGUACGUGAAAUUGUUGAAAGGGAAGGGCUUGCAAGCAGACACGGCCUUCGUGCCGGGCCAGCAUCGGUUGCUAGGGGUGGAUAAGGAACAAGGAAUGUAGCUCCUCGGAGUAUUAUAGCCUUGCGCGAUACACCCACUGCGACCGAGGCUGCGUAUUCUUACCUAGGAUGCUGGCGUAAUGGUUGCAAGCCGC